AGUAUAUUAGGAUCUCUAUAUUUUGAGUGGAAAUAUUGGGGGGGUCGCCUUAUACGCCCAGUCGCCUUGUACGCCGGCAAAUACGAGAAGUCCUUCAGACUGCUCUACAGACUGAUUCUAUUAUCUUGGCACAAUGUCCACACGGCUGUUUGUUACAAGACUCGUGUAAGAGUAGAUAAUGGAGACAUCAGGCACUAAGGGAAAUCUACAGUUGAUACAUAAGCCCUUGAAACAAAAUAAUCCAGAACCAGGUAGCAGUGGCCACAGACUAAGAAUCGCAAGAUCCAUCACAACUGCGAACCAGUCUCCCUGAAGAAAAUGCACUUUUGCAGGAGUCUUGCUACGAGAUACAAAGGAGUGGUUGUUGCAUGGACAAUUUGUGACCUCUUCUUCCCUUCUGGCAUUACUGUUCUAGUGUACAGUAUUCUCCCUUCAGCAAGUAACUGCUAAAAAAUACUUCUUCACAGAAGGUCUAUCCUCUUUUGUUGCGAUCUGUCUCAGCCAAUCUCUUUAGAUGUUCCUUAAUCACUGACUGUGCUCCACUGUGAGAGGUGAGAUUGGUUUUCAGCAACAUCACAGCUUCAUUUCAGGCUUCUGAAAGAACUUGCUUUUCUCACCAACACAUGCUUUGGUAAUCACAUAGUAAUCAGUUUGGAUCCAGCUAUGAAGUUAAGGCUAGAUGCACCUCUCGAAACAACUCAUGCUAGAGAAAUAUUUGUUACUAUAAGACAAGGGAAACUAGAGUAGACACUGUGAAUGCAGAAACUGUUGAUACAAAUUACCGUGGCAUCAUUUAAUUUAACUAGGUAUAUGAAAAACAUGAACACCACAGUAUCUCCAGUGUCAAGCUGAAUCAUCUUGUCUUUGCUCUUCUGAGAACAGUGUCUGUCUCCAGUAUGUGUUGGAGCCUCUGUAUUUGAAGAGUACCUUACAAAAUAAUGAUGGCUGACAGAUUAUGUACCACAUAUUCUUAUACACUUGACACUGAAUCUAACCUGGAAAUUCUGUCCAAAUAAGGGUAGAUGUGUAGCUUCUCUAUUCUAUGGUUCACCAUUUCCUUUGUGAAUUUACUGUGAAUACCUUUCCUGGGAUUAAAAAAGACAGGGCACUGUAGUGAUACUGCAUUUCCCCCAAAGGAAUACAUCAAGAAGAAAUUGGAUGCAAGCAUGUGACUCAUGGAGGUAAAUUAUUAAACCCUCAAAAUCACUUGACUGCUGUUUUUUUCCCUAAAGUUCUGUUUCACAGUGUGAAGUUUUUCAGGACUCUGAGAGCAAAAAUCAUUAUUUUAUUUUGGGACAACACAGAAAAAGUUGGAGCAUUUUCUGGAAAAGCAGGAUUAUUCUACAACACCUAUGUUUACUCAUUAUGUAUGUGAUUCUGAGACACAAGAAGGGCAGUCCAAUUCUUAUGUCUGAGGAAGUGGACUUGUCCAUGAAAGCUCACAUUAAAAUGUUAAUCUUAAGGUGCCACAACAUUUUUGUCGUCGUCUUCUUGCCUAACAGGAAGGGUGGAGAAACCUUCCCCAAGAAGGCUUGCAACAGAUAUACAUUGCUUCCAGUAGCCACCAACCCAUGCUCACAGAAACUCAAAUGUCCUCAAGUCACCUUUUCUCUAAAGGAAUAGAUGUCUUCACAUGUGACUUUUCAGGAUAGGCUUUAGCAGAAGUGUCUCAAAGAUCAAACCAUAACCACUUAGAACACUGGUUCCAAAACAGGGUAACAUAUCCCACUGGAUGGCAUGAAUAAAUUCCAAUUGGGAAAGCGAUGUAGAUAGUUCUAUUUUUAUUUUUAAUUUAACUUAUGCAAUUUUUGUUAAAAGAGAGGUGCAUGAU